AGUGACUCACAGAUAAUUAAUCAUAUACUACUUGCGAUAUAAACUCAACACAUGUUCCUCAAAUAUAAUGUCUUAUUCUUUUAAUUAGUAUAUUACUUAAAUUGUAUAAGUGUUACAAGGAAAUAUAAUAUUCAUAUUCAGGAAUUAACUAUGUAAUGAAACUGGCACUUAACUACCACUUAUAACCUAAUUAUCACCCUUACUUCGAAUAAUUACAACACGAUUCGCAGAAUAUAUCCUUAAAAUAAAUGGCAAACUAAUUGGAAUUCCCCCUUUGAUAGUAUAAAUAUUCGAACAAGUGUUGUAGAUUUUAAAAUCACAAGAUACUUCCAGAUGAAUAUCAUAAUAAGAUCUUGAAAACAAGCAAAGCGGAUAUACUCUCAAACCAGAGAAAAAAAUGAAGCUGUUUGGAAUUAUCAAAUUUAUAUCUAUGUUAGCAAUGUUCCUGAUGCUGAUGUUUUCAGAAGGAAAUGCUCGUUACUGCAGUUAUAAUAACAAAAGAGGCAAAUGCCAUGACGUCAUUAGGGUUGGAUCAAGCAAAUUCGAAAAAGGUUUAUGUGAAGCUCGCGGAGGGAAAUGUGUCCCUGGCAGACGCCAAAAACGGUGUUUCUGCAAAAUGAAAAUUUAUUUGUGAUUCUUCAGAGUAUGAAGCUCGCGGAGGGAAAUGUGUCCCUGGCAGACGCCAAAAAAGGUGUUUCUGCAAAAUGACAAUUCAUUUGUGAUUCUUCAAAGUGUAGAACAGAAUUAAUGCAUUUAUUCUGUUUGUUUGAUAACCUUUGAACUUGCAUUAUGUUUGAUUCUACAUUGUAUUAUGAUAUUUAAACUUGCAUUAUAUGAUUGAUUCCAUUUUGCAUUAUUUCAUUCAAUUUAAAUGGUCUUUCAUUGAGUGAUAAUUUAUGCUAAAUAAAGCUCGAUAUCUGA